UACGUAGGGUGCAAGCGUUGUCCGGAAUUAUUGGGCGUAAAGAGCUCGUAGGCGGUCUGUCGCGUCGGCUGUGAAAUCCCGAGGCUCAACCUCGGGUCUGCAGUCGAUACGGGCAAACUAGAGUAUUGCAGGGGAGACUGGAAUUCCUGGUGUAGCGGUGAAAUGCGUAGAUAUCUGGAGGAACACCGGUGGCGAAGGCGGCAUCCUGGACCGACACUGACACUGAGGAGCGAAAGCCAGGGGAGCAAACGGG
rnacentral:rRNA from 1 species